CUUGAAAUACCACCCUUUAAUGUUUGAUGUUCUAACGUGGACCCGUUACCCGGGUUGCGGACAGUGUCUGGUGGGUAGUUUGACUGGGGCGGUCUCCUCCUAAAGAGUAACGGAGGAGCACGAAGGUUGGCUAAUCCUGGUCGGACAUCAGGAGGUUAGUGCAAUGGCAUAAGCCAGCUUGACUGCGAGCGUGACGGCGCGAGCAGGUGCGAAAGCAGGUCAUAGUGAUCCGGUGGUUCUGAAUGGAAGGGCCAUCGCUCAACGGAUAAAAGGUACUCCGGGGAUAACAGGCUGAUACCGCCCAAGAGUUCAUAUCGACGGCGGUGUUUGGCACCUCGAUGUCGGCUCAUCACAUCCUGGGGCUGAAGUAGGUCCCAAGGGUAUGGCUGUUCGCCAUUUAAAGUGGUACGCGAGCUGGGUUUAGAACGUCGUGAGACAGUUCGGUCCCUAUCUGCCGUGGGCGCUGGAGAACUGAGGGGGGCUGCUCCUAGUACGAGAGGACCGGAGUGGACGCAUCACUGGUGUUCGGGUUGUCAUGCCAAUGGCACUGCCCGGUAGCUAAAUGCGGAAGAGAUAAGUGCUGAAAGCAUCUAAGCACGAAACUUGCCCCGAG
rnacentral:rRNA from 2 species